AAAACUCUCCUCCGAUGCUGGUGUCUUCCGGCACUUGGGGGGUUUUGGCAGAUGCCCACACCUUGAACUGUGUGUGCGCUGCCCAAAUACGCUGUCCGCGAGCCUGAGGAUUGCAGCCGACGUAGUGAGAUUCAAUCUCGUUGUCUGUUAAACCUGACAGGGGCAAUGGGACCUUAAGCGCCAUGGCGCCGACAUGAAGAC
rnacentral:misc_RNA from 1 species